rnacentral:rRNA from 1 species
UACCAGCACCCCGAGUGGUCGGGACGAUUAUUGGGCCUAAAGCAUCCGUAGCCGGUUCUACAAGUCUUCCGUUAAAUCCACCUGCUCAACAGUUGGGCUGCGGAGGAUACUAUAGAGCUAGGAGGCGGGAGAGGCAAGCGGUACUUAGUGGGUAGGGGUAAAAUCCGUUGAUCCAUUGAAGACCACCAGUGGCGAAGGCGGCUCUCUGGUCUGUAACUGACGCUGAGGCGCGAAAGCGUGGGGAGCAAACAGG